GAUGAAGAACGUAGCGAAAUGCGAUACUUGGUGUGAAUGGCAGAAUCCCGUGAACCAUCGAGUCUUCGAACGCAAGUUGCGCCCGAAGCCAUUAGGCCGAGGGCACGCCUGCCUGGGCGUCACACGUCGUUGCCCCCCCAUCUACUCCUUCGGGAUUGCGGGGGGCGGAUGAUGGCCUCCCGUGCGCCUCGUCGCGCGGUUGGCAUAAAUGCCAAGUCCUCGGCGACGCACGCCACGACAAUCGGUGGUUGCGAAACCUCGGUUGCCCGUCGUGUGCGGUCGUCGCGCAUCGAGGGCUCGAAAAAAUUGCCGGGCUCCGGCUCGGCUUUCAACGCGACCCCAGGUCAGGCGGGGUUACCCGCUGAAUUUAAGCAUAUCAAUAAGCGGAGGA
rnacentral:misc_RNA from 1 species